UACGGAGGGUGCAAGCGUUAAUCGGAAUUACUGGGCGUAAAGCGCGCGUAGGCGGCUCGGUCAGUCAGAUGUGAAAGCCCUGGGCUCAACCUGGGAACUGCAUUUGAUACUGCCGGACUAGAGUGCAGUAGAGGGGGGUAGAAUUCCGGGUGUAGCGGUGAAAUGCGUAGAUAUCCGGAGGAAUACCAGUGGCGAAGGCGGCCCCCUGGACUGAUACUGACGCUGAGGUGCGAAAGCGUGGGGAGCAAACAGGAUUAGAUACCCGCGUA
rnacentral:rRNA from 1 species